GAGAUGCUGGCUGAAGGAUUCAUGACUUCUCUUUUUCAUACUACCACAGGUCUUACAAAGUGACCUCAGAUCAGUUUAUCUUAGAACAUUCAAUCGCCCCUUAACAUUGGUCAGCUUCAAAGUAUCCACCUUUAGGGAAUUAGUGUCACAUAGGGUAAUGGAGUAGCUGCAAAGAAACAGACUUUGUCUCAUUUUUCUCUUACAGAGGUGAACUGUCUGGACCACUGAGCCUCAAGCCUUCAGGAUAUUCUGCUUUAUUUUAUUGGUCUCAGUCAUGAUCUGGAACAUGAAAGGAAAUAUGAGGAAACUUCAAGCUGAGAUCAUUCUGCAAGUCAAAAGAUUAAGAUGAGGAGAAUGAUCUCUGAACUGGGAAAUAAAAUGAACUGGACAAAACAAAAAAUGGAUAGCAGUGUUUUACCCUACGAUCAUAAAAUUACUUAAACCACAGAAUUAAUUAAAGCUUGAAAGCACCUUAGAGAUCAUCUA
rnacentral:lncRNA from 1 species